AUUGAACGCUGGCGGCAGGCCUAACACAUGCAAGUCGAACGAGUGGCGGACGGGUGAGGAAUGUCUGGGAAACUGCCCGAUGGAGGGGGUUAACUACUGGAAACAGUAGCUAAUACCGCAUACCAUCGGAUGUGCCCAGAUGGGAUUAGCUAGUAGGUGGGGUAACGGCUCACCUAGGCGACGAUCCCUAGCUGGUCUGAGAGGAUGACCAGCACCACGGGAACUGAGACACGUUCAACACUCCUACGGGAGUCAGCAUUGGGGAAUAUUGCACAAUGGGCGCAAGCCUGAUGCGGCCAUGCCGCGUGUAUGAAGAAGGCCUUCGGGUUGUAAAGUACUUUCAGCGAGCAGGCGUGACUGGCAGAAGAGGCACCGGCUAACUCCGUGCCAGCCGCGCGGUAAUUC
rnacentral:rRNA from 1 species